rnacentral:rRNA from 1 species
UGAGCAACCUGCCCUUGACUCUGGAAUAACAGUUGGAAACAGCUGCUAAUACUGGAUAUGACCUCUGACGACAUCGUCUGGAGGUGGAAAGCUCCGGCGGUCAAGGAUGGGCUCGCGGCCUAUCAGCUUGUUGGUGAGGUAACGGCUCACCAAGGCUUCGACGGGUAGCCGGCCUGAGAGGGCGACCGGCCACAUUGGGACUGAGAUACGGCCCAGACCUCUACGGGGA